rnacentral:rRNA from 1 species
UACGUAGGGGGCAAGCGUUGUCCGGAUUUAUUGGGCGUAAAGAGCGUGUAGGCGGCUUUACAGGUCCGUUGUGAAAACUCGAGGCUCAACCUCGAGACGCCGGUGGAAACCGUAAGGCUAGAGUCCGGAAGAGGAGAGUGGAAUUCCCGGUGUAGAGGUGAAAUUCGUAGAUAUCGGGAGGAACACCAGUGGCGAAGGCGGAGACCUGGGCCGAUACUGACGCUGAGGUGCGAAAGCGUGGGGAGCAAACAGG